UACGUAGGGGGCUAGCGUUGUCCGGAUUUAUUGGGCGUAAAGAGCGUGUAGGCGGCCAGGUAGGUCUGCUGUGAAAACUCGAGGCUCAACCUCGAGACGUCGGCGGAAACCAUCUGGCUAGAGUCCGGAAGAGGAGAGUGGAAUUCCUGGUGUAGCGGUGAAAUGCGCAGAUAUCAGGAAGAACACCCGUGGCGAAGGCGGUUCUCUGGGACGGUACUGACGCUGAGGUGCGAAAGCGUGGGGAGCAAACAGG
rnacentral:rRNA from 1 species